GACGAACGCUGGCGGCGUGCUUAACACAUGCAAGUCGAACGGAAAGUCCCUGCUUUUGUGGGGUGCUCGAGUGGCGAACGGGUGAGUAACACGUGAGUAACCUGCCCUUGACUUUGGGAUAACUUCAGGAAACUGGGGCUAAUACCGGAUAGGAGCUCCUGCUGCAUGGUGGGGGUUGGAAAGUUUCGGCGGUUGGGGAUGGACUCGCGGCUUAUCAGCUUGUUGGUGGGGUAGUGGCUUACCAAGGCUUUGACGGGUAGCCGGCCUGAGAGGGUGACCGGCCAAACUGGGACUGAGAUACGGCCCAGACUCCUACGGGAGGCAGCAGUGGGGAAUAGUGCACAAUGGGCGGAAGCCUGAUGCAGCAACGCCGCGUGGGGGAUGACGGGCUUCGGGUUGUAAACCGCUUUCGCCUGUGACGAAGCGUGAGUGACGGUAAUGGGUAAAGAAGCACCGGCUAACUACGUG
rnacentral:rRNA from 1 species